CCUACGGGUGGCAGCAGUGGGGAAUAUUGCGCAAUGGGCGAAAGCCUGACGCAGCGACGCCGCGUGAGGGAUGAAGGUCUUCGGAUCGUAAACCUCUGUCAGCAGGGAAGAACGGUCACUGUGCUAAUCAGCAGUGAAUUGACGGUACCUGCAAAGGAAGCACCGGCUAACUCCGUGCCAGCAGCCGCGGUAAUACGGAGGGUGCGAGCGUUAAUCGGGAUUACUGGGCGUAAGGCGCUCGUAGGCGGUAUGUCAAGUCAAGGGGGAAAUCCCCGCGCUCCACGUGGGAACUGCCUUUGAAACUGGCAACCGGGAGUGCGUGAGAGGAUAGUGGAAUGCCAGGUGUAGGAGUGAAAUCCGUAGAUAUCUGGAGGAACAUCAGUGGCGAGGGCGACUAUCUGGCACAUAACUGACGCUGAGGAGCGAAAGCGUGGGUAGCAACCAGGAUUAGAUACCCGAGUAGUC
rnacentral:rRNA from 1 species